UUCAUCUCCGUGCGCUUCCUCUGCUGCUUCAUGAAGAUUCUCUCGGCACUCCCUGUUUUCACACCAUCCCGGAAUGUUACCCUCAAAACUGCAGGUGGCACUGGUCUAGUUGUCCUGCUUGCAGGCUGUUGGAUGCUGAAGGAGAAACACCGUCCCAGCACUCCUGGAGCCUCCAGCCCAGCUGGGAAGACAGCUGCACAGGAAGGAAUCAGAAGGGGGCUGGGCUCCGCAAGUGAGAAGCACAGACAGAAAUCACGUGGUGCUGCCAGGACUAAGAGCUGCAAACCAGUCAACGGCUAUGGAAGUGAUAAGAAUCUUGACACUGGAUUCCCUUUGAAUCUGAACCUUUCCCCACCUUCUGCUGCUAUUUGGAGCGGAGAUACUCGACAUGGUCCACUCAUUUAUCUUUGUUCCUCAUCACGCUCCUACCUUCUGGAGUCUAUUUCUCAGCUUUACUAAAAUGCUUUCCGAAAAUGAAGUUCUAAGAUAAAGAAUCAAAUUCUGGAAUUAUCUAAACUCCAGUAACGCCGGAGACAUGAAAAUCCAU
rnacentral:lncRNA from 1 species